AACGCACAUUGCGCCCGCCAGCACUCUGGCGGGCAUGCCUGUCCGAGCGCCAUCUCACCGCCCAGGCGGCCCUGCCUGCCGCCUGGUGUUGGGGCCCCUACGCGCCGCCGUAGGCCCCGAAAUCCGUCGGCGAGCCCGCCGGAGCUCCCCAGCGCAGUGGCACAUCACCGCUGGGGGCGCCCGGGAGGUCCUCUGCCAGACGGCGCCGCGCCGCGGCGCCCAGCGACUGCUUGGCCUCGGAUCAGGUAGGACUACCCGCUGAACUUAA
rnacentral:misc_RNA from 1 species